UUCUGAUAUAUAUUUUAUUUUGUUAAAAAUUAAAAAUACAUGUAAUUCCCGACGUGACAUGUUAUAAAAUAAAAAAAUAAAACCCUAAAUCUAACUCUCCUCCUCCAUCCUCUUGCCGCUGCCGUCAGGCCCAACAACCCCUUCAACGGGAUAACACGAUAAUCAAAUGUGCUGGAGAAAGUGACAAAUGUGCCAUUCACCCAAUUACUAUGGAUCUCAAGCUUCACCGACCUGGAUCUGUGUAUAUGGAUCUCAAGCAUCUUGUUGAAGUCUUCACCGACCUGGAUCUAUGUAACGCUCCAGGGCUGUCGGUAAUGGCGAUAGUGAAGGAGAGAGAGUGAUAAUGAGAGAUUAGAGAACUGAGAAUUUGUACUUGCAGGGCAACAUCUUUUUCGGUGAAAGCCCAGAAUUUGUGCUUGCCAAUCUUGCCAAAUAAGGGAGACCAUGGGCUGAGUGAGUUGAUGAUGAAAUUUGUAUUGGGUUUUCCAUUAGGUAUUGGAUUUUUAAUUAGAGGUUGCUGGCGUUGAGGUGGUGGAGGUUGAAAUUUGUUGGUUUCGGUGGUGGUGCCGCCGGAGAGGCUAUGGAUUUGCAGCCCUUCUCAGUGAUUUAGGUUUGAUUUUUGAAUUUUUUUGUUUUCCAUGUGGUAAUGGAAUACCAAUAAAAAAUAGUGUAUUUCCACAUGGAAUAUGAUUAAAAAAAAUAAAAAAUACAGAUCAUCAUUUAACGGCCA